CUCAGACCUCCAACCCUCGGCCAGCAAAAUAGAAAGCCUUUCUUUCCUGUCCGCCCUCAGGGCUACCAGCAACUACAAGUCGCGACAUCCCGGCCGGGCGAGCAGAGCCCGAAGGGCGGCAGCGCUCACCUGGGCAGGGGCUGGGCUCACGGAGCGGCAUUCAGCUCCCAUCCCCCGUGCGUCCCGGGCUCAGGAAUGCGCGGGGGCGGGGGGCGGCAGGGGGAAAGCCGGGGUGGUACCACCCCCAGGGAGCGGAUGGACUCAGCUCCAGGGAGAUAAUUCCCAUCGGCAGCCCGCAAUGCAGACCCUACCCCACCGCCCGAGUGUGUCCGGGCUUGGAGGAGAGCAGGAGGUGGAAAGGUGGAAGACAAACUGCGUGUGAAUUUAUCUUUUUGGCUGUUACUGAAGUCUUCUGGUAUAAUUUAACCUUCCCAGCAUCCUGUCUUCCAAUCAGAUCAGUGGUUCUCAGCAGAAGGAAUACCAAUCCAAAGAGGACGUUUGGAAAUGUUACAAUGAUUGAGGGCUCUCCUGGCAUUUGGUGGGCAAGAACCUGGAAAGGAAUAUGUCCUGCAACGGGUCCAGCACAAUGGAAAAUUCCCCCCUGUAUUGUGCAAGUAACUGCCGUCCUGCCACAUAAUGAGGGUGAAAAAUCCGUUAAUUAUUACCUAAGACUAGAAUUUCUUCCUUUUACAUACAAGAAUUGUUUGCAACUAAGUUAAUUUUUGCAACGUUGCAAUAAACAUCCUGGUGCAUUUAAGAAAAGAGUCUAAUAUGAACUCCUCCUUCAGAGUUAAACGUUACCCUUCCUUCCACUGGAAAGUCUUCCUGGCUUCUCAGACGGGCUCAUUUCCAGGAGUACACAAGCAGUAGCAUGAACAAGAUAGAAAUUUCCAGGAGGUUCCACUGUCAUCAGGCACCUGGCAUCCUUCUAUGUAACUGUUCCACUGCACUAAUCUAAGAGGUCUGCUCCAGCUCGGGCAUCUGUCUGCAUUCUGAGAAGCGAGGGGAGAGAAAAACACAAGGAAGAGAUCACUUUCAUCCUUUAAGGAGUCUCAGUGGGAGUCUUCACAUAAAAUUUCUACUUAUUAUUAGCCAGAGCUUUGUCACUUGGCCAUGCCUAACCACGAGAAGUGGGGAAGUAUGGAGAUGUUCUCAUCAAUGUGUUGAGUUAAUCAUCAGUGUUCUGUUACCAGAGAAUAAGAAGAAAGUAAAUACUGGGAAGGAUCCAGCAGUUUCUGCCACACUUUCCCAUUGUGUAUCCUUCAGCACCUGCAGUUAUUUUCAACAAGAAGAACCAUCCAGGCACCUAGUUGCUGUGUGACUAGAAAGAGACUCUUACCUUAGUUCUUGGAAGAGCAUCUUAGCUGUUCUCUUUACCUUUGCCCCAUAAUGUCUAUUCUUACAGAGCAGCCAGAGUGAAAUUUUAAAAAUAUGUUUAACAUUAUCAUUCUUCAUUAUAAAACUGUCCAAUGGCAUAUCAUCCCACUCAUCCAACAUCCUUACAAUAGCCUGCAAAGUCCUGCACAAAUUUUCCUCUGGCUACAUCUCUGACUUCAUUGACUUUGAAUUGCCCUCAUGCUCACUGUUCUGCACAUGUAGUCCUUGCUGCUGUUACUUACAUAUUUCACACAUAGUCCUGCUGCAGGGUCUUUUCACUCACUGUUCCUUCUGGCUCCAGGAUAUCCUUUCCUCAGCUUUCUUAUGGUUUAUCAGACAUGACCUUCCCCAACUGCUCUACACAAGAGAAAUUCCCCAAGUCAUUGUCUAGCCCCUUUCACCCUUUUAAUUUUUAUUCAUCUACUGAAACCACCUGCCUUGGCCAGGCACGAUGCUAACCACUUGCAUGAGUUGUCUCACAACAGGAGGCCCUGAUAAGGAACAUGGUGCUGGCAUGGAAAACUCACCAGGAGAAUUCAGGAGGGGCUGAAAGGAGGGAGGAGAUGCCAGCCCAUAAUAUGUCCUACCAGCCUCCCAGAAUCCUUUUGCUAGAAUCCAUCUUGGCUGAGAGAAGCACGCACCACCAGGAAGGACCCUGCUUCAGAGCAAAUCUGAGCCAAGCAAGAUGAUUGGCCAGAGACAACCCAGAAACUACCUCCAUUAUCAUAAAACUUGAGAUUGUGAGCCACGUGGCAGAGCAGUUCUCCUGGUCUCCCUUACCUUGCCGUUCUCCACCUGGGUGCCCCUUCUGAAUAAAGUCUUUUGCUUUGUCAGCAGGUGUGACUUCUCAGACAACCCAUUUCCAAGUUUUAGACAAGAGCCCAGUCUUGGACCUUGGAAGGGGUUUCCCUUCCUGCAACACUUACUCUAUACAUUUUUGUUUGUUUUUAUGAUUUUUGUGGUCUCUUCUUAUCACCAUGUAGUCUUUUCAAGGGUGAGAAUUUCAUCAUAUUUGUUCACAACUCUAUCUAAAAGCAUCAAGAAUAGCAUUUGAUGCACAGAAGGCAUUCAAUAUAUAAU